UUUCCGUAGGUGAACCUGCGGAAGGAUCAUUGUCGAAACCUGGCCAGCAGAACGACCCGCGAACUUGUAUAAACAACCGGGGGCGGGGGGCGUUCUCGCCCCGUGCCCCCGAACGGCGGGGAGACACUCGUGCCUUCUUGCCGAACAACGAACCCCGGCGCGGUCUGCGCCAAGGGACUUCAACUAAAGAGUGCCUCCGGUCGCCUCGGAAACGGCGUGCGUGCCGGGGGCGAAUCUUGUGCAAAACCAUAACGACUCUCGGCAACGGAUAUCUCGGCUCUC
rnacentral:misc_RNA from 1 species